rnacentral:misc_RNA from 1 species
UAAAGAACAUGAGUGUCUUGCUGGGGCUUCUGAAGAAUAUUCCGAGCAAUCUCCAUCACCUAACUCAGGGCUAGAAGCUCAAGCGACGACGGAAGAAUUGAGGAACGAUGGAUCUGAAAGUUCAAGACUGUUCAAUAAAUGGGAUCAAGUCAUGGUUCCUGGAAUUCGGCCAUCAAUGUCCGUAAGUGAUUUUGUCAACCAUAUUGAACAAUGCCUAUCACAGCAGAUGACACCCAACGGCCCUCUGUUUUCUGAAGAGAACCAACAAAGCAGAGAGGCUCUAGAGGGAAUUACACAGUAUCUUUUUGGUGAUUCUCAAAAUGCAUCCGACUCCGAUGAACAAACCGUCAUGUCCAGGGUGAAUUCGCUAUGCUGUCUUCUGCAGAAGGAUUCUUGUAUGGCUAAG